CCUAAGGUAGCGAAAUUCCUUGUCGGGUAAGUUCCGACCCGCACGAAAGGCGUAACGAUUUGGGCACUGUCUCAACGAGAGACUCGGUGAAAUCAUAGUACCUGUGAAGAUGCAGGUUACCCGCGACAGGACGGAAAGACCCCGUGGAGCUUUACUGUAGCCUGAUAUUGAAAUUCGGCACAGCUUGUACAGGAUAGGUAGGAGCCUUUGAAACGUGAGCGCUAGCUUACGUGGAGGCGUUGGUGGGAUACUACCCUAGCUGUGUUGGCUUUCUAACCCGCACCACUUAUCGUGGUGGGAGACAGUGUCAGGCGGGCAGUUUGACUGGGGCGGUCGCCUCCUAAAAGGUAACGGAGGCGCUCAAAGGUUCCCUCAGAAUGGUUGGAAAUCAUUCAUAGAGUGUAAAGGCAUAAGGGAGCUUGACUGCGAGACCUACAAGUCGAGCAGGGUCGAAAGACGGACUUAGUGAUCCGGUGGUUCCGCAUGGAAGGGCCAUCGCUCAACGGAUAAAAGCUACCCCGGGGAUAACAGGCUUAUCUCCCCCAAGAGUUCACAUCGACGGGGAGGUUUGGCACCUCGAUGUCGGCUCAUCGCAUCCUGGGGCUGUAGUCGGUCCCAAGGGUUGGGCUGUUCGCCCAUUAAAGCGGUACGCGAGCUGGGUUCAGAACGUCGUGAGACAGUUCGGUCCCUAUCCGUCGUGGGCGUAGGAAAUUUGAGAGGAGCUGUCCUUAGUACGAGAGGACCGGGAUGGACAUACCUCUGGUGUACCAGUUGUCGUGCCAACGGCAUAGCUGGGUAGCUAUGUAUGGACGGGAUAAGUGCUGAAAGCAUCUAAGCAUGAAGCCCCCCUCAAGAUGAGAUUUCCCAACUUCGGUUAUAAGAUCCCUCGAAGAUGACGAGGUUAAUAGGUUCGAGGUGGAAGCGUGGUGACACGUGGAGCUGACGAAUACUAAUCGAUCGAAGACUUAAUCAA
rnacentral:rRNA from 2 species